rnacentral:rRNA from 1 species
GACGAACGCUGGCGGCGUGCUUAACACAUGCAAGUCGAACGGUGAAGCGAGUGCUUGCACUCGUGGAUCAGUGGCGAACGGGUGAGUAUCACGUGAGUAACCUGCCCAUCACUCUGGGAUAAGCACUGGAAACGGUGUCUAAUCCUGGAUACGACAAACCCUUCCAUGGGGUGUUGGUGGACAUAUUUAUCGGUGAUGGAUGGACUCGCGGCCUCUCAGCUUGUUGUCGGGGUAAUGGCGCACCAAGGCGGCGACGGGUAGCCGGCCUGGGAGGGGGACCGGCCACACUGGGACUGAGAGACGGCCCAGACUCCUACGGGAGGCAGAAGUGGGGAAUAUUGCACAAUGGGCGAAAGCGUGAUGAAGCGACGCCGCGUGAGGGAUGACGGCCUUCGGGUUGUAAACCGCUUUCAGCAGAGAAGAAGCGAAAGUGACGGUACCUGCAGAAGAAGCACCGGCUAACUACGUG